rfam:Triticum aestivum genome assembly, contig: Triticum_aestivum_CS42_TGACv1_scaffold_502288_6BL
ACCUACUUGACUUAGUGGUUAGAGUAUCGCUUUCAUACGGUGAGAGUCAUUGGUUCAAAUCCAAUAGUAGGUA